AGAAUGUUUAUGCUUUUUGGUUUUUAAAAUCUUCCAAAAGACAAAUCAAGGCCACUGCUCUGCCGCUCCAGCCAGCAGGUUACCCUCCUCAGUGUCAAACCCCGUACCCCACCCUGGCAGAACACAAGGGAUGAGCUCCCUGACGGCCCCAGAGGAAAGCACACCCUGUGGAGCCAAGGCCAAGGACACACUCCAGACCACAUUCACUUUCCCUUCUCGACACCUCACCUCUGAAAGUACAACUGUUCCUAACCCAGUCCAGGUCCUCAAGGGCCCACGUGACUUACUUUCUCCACAGUCCACAUACAGUCACUUCCUCACUCACAUUAGUUGUCCUCUCUGUAGAUUCCAAUGCAGGCUGUUCUCAGGAACAGCUGAUGGAUU
rnacentral:lncRNA from 1 species